GAUGAACGCUGGCUACAGGCUUAACACAUGCGAGUCGAGGGGAAACGACGGGGAAGCUUGCUUCCCCGGGCGUCGACCGGCGCACGGGUGAGUAACGCGUAUCCAACCUGCCUCUGACUGAGGGAUAACCCGUCGAAAGUCGGCCUAAUACCUCAUGGCAUCGUCUGCGGGCAUCCAACGACGAUUAAAGAUUUCAUCGGUCAGGGAUGGGGAUGCGUCUGAUUAGCUUGUUGGCGGGGUAACGGCCCACCAAGGCUACGAUCAGUAGGGGUUCUGAGAGGAAGGUCCCCCACAUUGGAACUGAGACACGGUCCAAACGCCUACGGGAGGCAGCAGUGAGGAAUAUUGGUCAAUGGGCGGGAGCCUGAACCAGCCAAGUAGCGUGCAGGAUGACGGCCCUAUGGGUUGUAAACUGCUUUUAUGCGGGGAUAAAGUGAGGGACGUGUCCUUCAUUGCAGGUACCGCAUGAAUAAGGACCGGCUAAUUCCGUG
rnacentral:rRNA from 1 species